rfam:Candidate division Zixibacteria bacterium SM23_73 WORSMTZ_24830, whole genome shotgun sequence.
GCCCCUGUAGCUCAGUUGGAUAGAGCAGCGGCCUCCGGAGCCGCGUGCACCCGUUCGAGUCGGGUCAGGGGUA